rnacentral:rRNA from 1 species
AUUGAACGCUGGCGGCAGGCCUAACACAUGCAAGUCGAGCGGAUGACGGGAGCUUGCUCCUUGAUUCAGCGGCGGACGGGUGAGUAAUGCCUAGGAAUCUGCCUGGUAGUGGGGGACAACGUUUCGAAAGGAACGCUAAUACCGCAUACGUCCUACGGGAGAAAGCAGGGGACCUUCGGGCCUUGCGCUAUCAGAUGAGCCUAGGUCGGAUUAGCUUGUUGGUGAGGUAAUGGCUCACCAAGGCGACGAUCCGUAACUGGUCUGAGAGGAUGAUCAGUCACACUGGAACUGAGACACGGUCCAGACUCCUACGGGAGGCAGCAGUGGGGAAUAUUGGACAAUGGGCGAAAGCCUGAUCCAGCCAUGCCGCGUGUGUGAAGAAGGUCUUCGGAUUGUAAAGCACUUUAAGUUGGGAGGAAGGGUUGUAGAUUAAUACUCUGCAAUUUUGACGUUACCGACAGAAUAAGCACCGGCUAACUCGGUG